ensembl:lncRNA novel transcript, sense intronic to MX2
CACCCUUGCGGGGCGGGAACCGUCGACCUAGAAGAAAAAAAAAGCUGAGGCAAACUUGAUAUAAGUAGAGAGGUUAUUUGGGCCAAGUUUGAAGAUUGCAACCCGGGAGCAUAGCUUCAAGUUGCCCUGAACAUAGGAUUUGCAACAGUGACAAAGGUGAGGCCAGAGAAGUGACAAGACAGAUGCCAGUCCAGCAGGUGGGCAUGUCCAGAAAGUGCAGCCUCAGGACACGGUCUGGGAACAAAGACUGCUGGAGAGUUGGAAGCUGGCAAGAGGCUCUCAGCUGUGAAGUACCUGGGGUGGGGGAGAAGUGGUCGGAGAAAGCAGAGCCCAGCCCGUCUUCCUGUUGGAGGCAUGUGACCCCUGGAGGACAAGCAUGAAACGCCAUAGGGCUCCCCCAGGUGCUGGAAUUAUGGCACCUUGCAGCUUCUUCUCCACGAGUUUUAACAAGCAUGCGUACUUUUGUAAGUGGUGAGUGUAACGGAGGUUCACAGAUGCACUCCGCUUUGGAAACCAGUGCACUCUUGCCCAGGCCCGGUGAGACUCUGAGGACGAUGUGUCUAACCUCUGUGUCUAACGGGGGUGUG